CCUACGGGGGGCUGCAGUGAGGAAUAUUGGUCAAUGGUCGCGAGCCUGAACCAGCCAAGCCGCGUGAGGGAUGAAGGUACAAUGUAUCGUAAACCUCUUUUGUCAGGGAGCAAAGGCCGAGACGUGUCCCCGUCUGAGAGUACCUGAAGAAAAAGCAUCGGCUAACUCCGUGCCAGCAGCCGCGGUAAUACGGAGGGUGCAAGCGUUAUCCGGAUUUAUUGGGUGUAAAGGGAGCGUAGACGGUAAAGUAAGUCUGGGGUGAAAGGCCGGGGACCAACCCCGGGACUGCUGUGGAAACUAUUGAACUUGAGUGCAGGAGAGGUAAGCGGAAUGCCUAGUGUAGCGGUGAAAUGCGUAGAUAUCAGGAGGAACACCGGUGGCGAAGGCGGCUUACUGGACUGUAACUGACGUUGAGGCACGAAAGCGUGGGGAGCAAACAGGAUUAGAUACCCGUGUAGUC
rnacentral:rRNA from 1 species